rnacentral:piRNA from 1 species
UAAUCUACUGAGAUAUUGUCAUGUGUAU